AAUUUACUUCCAAGCUAACUGA
rnacentral:miRNA from 1 species